UACGGGAGGCAGCAGUAGGGAAUCUUUCACAAUGGGCGAAACCCUGAUGCAGCAACGCCGCGUGAAGGACGACGGUCUUCGGAUUGUAAACUUCUUUUCUUUGUGAAGAAAACUGACGGUAGCAAAGGAAUAAGCAUCGGCUAACUACGUGCCAGCAGCCGCGGUAAU
rnacentral:rRNA from 1 species